rnacentral:tRNA from 2 species
GGGGAUGUAGCUCAGCUGGGAGAGCGCCUGCUUUGCACGCAGGAGGCCAGCGGUUCGAAUCCGCUCAUCUCCA